GAAAGUAUUCAAGGGCGCACGGCGGAUGCCUAGGCUCUUACAGGCGAUGAAGGACGUGAUAAGCUGCGACAAGCCGCGGUGAGGCGCAAAUGGCCAUUGACCCGCGGGUAUCCGAAUGGGGCAACCCAACGUUUUGAAGAAACGUUAUCCCGCGAGAGCGGGAGGCGAACGCGGGGAACUGAAACAUCUUAGUACCCGCAGGAGAAGAAAAUAAAUAAUGAUUCCCCCAGUAGUGGCGAGCGACCGGGGAAUAGCCCAAACCGGCGUUGUCCAGGCAUCGCCGGGGUUGUAGGACCGCGAUGUCGCAAGAGUGAUGGCGAGUGGAAGGAACUGGAAAGUUCCGCCAUAGAGGGUGACAGCCCCUUACACGAAGCCAUGCGAAGCGUAGCGGAAUCCUGAGUAGCGCGGGACACGUGUAAUCCUGUGUGAAUCAGCCGGGCCCAUCCGGCAAGGCUAAAUACUCGUAAGAGACCGAUAGUGAACCAGUACCGUGAGGGAAAGGUGAAAAGCACCCCUGUUAGGGGAGUGAAAAAGACCCUGAAACCGUGCGCCUACAAGCGGUCGGAGCGCCCAUUGGGCGUGACGGCGUGCCUUUUGCAUAAUGAACCUACGAGUUGCCGUCACCGGCAAGGCCAAGGGGCAUGAGCCCCGCAGCCGCAGCGGAAGCGAGUCUUAAAAGGGCGCAGGAGUCGGUGGUGGCAGACGCGAAACCGGGUGAUCUACACUUGUCCAGGAUGAAGUCCCGGUAACACGGGAUGGAGGUCCGCACCAAUAAGCGUUGAAAAGCUUCUGGAUGAGGUGAGUGUAGGAGUGAAAGGCCAAUCAAACUCGGAGAUAGCUCGUACUCCCCGAAAGGCAUUUAGGUGCCGCCUGUGGAGUUCCCGGCGCGAGGUAGAGCGACUGAUAGGAUGCGAGGGCUUCACCGCCUGUCAAGUCCUGACAAACUCCGAAUGCGCGCCGGCCAAUCCAUGGAGUAAGGGCACGGGUGCUAAGGUCCGUGCCCGAGAGGAGAAGAAUCCAGACCACCGGCCAAGGUCCCGAAAUGCUGGUUAAGUUAGACUAACGCAGUCCGUCCCCCCAGACAGCUAGGAUGUUGGCUUGGAAGCAGCCAUUCAUUCAAAGAGUGCGUAACAGCUCACUAGUCGAGGGGAUGGGCGUGGAUAAUAAUCGGGUAUGAAACCAGUUACCGAAGCCGUGGGAUAUGAGAAUAUCGGUAGGGGAGCAUUCCAUCCUGCGUCGAAGGCGCCGCGCGAGCGGCUCUGGAGCGGAUGGAAAAGCAAAUGUAGGUAUAAGUAACGAUAAGGAGGGUGCGAUCCCCUCCCGCCGAAAGACCAAGGUUUCCUGAACAACGCCAAUCGGUUCAGGGUGAGUCGGUCCCUAAGCAUAAGCCUAAGGGCGAGGGCGAUGGAUCAAACGGUUAAUAUUCCGUUACUGUCUUGGUGUGUGACGCGGCGACGGAGAAGUGACACGGCCGCCCCCUGACGGAAAAGGGGGUUUAAGCGCAAAGGUUACGAGGGAGGCAGGCAAGCCCACCUCCCGAGCCGAAGCGCGAAAGUACGCGGCGCCCUUCUGGGCAACGCGACAGCGCCGGUAACCAUGCUCCCGAGAAAACCCGCUAAACUCCAGCACCAGGUCAUCCGUACCGUAAACGGACACACGUGGUCGGGUAGAACAUACUAAGGCGCUUGGGAGAUUCACGGUUAAGGAACUAGGCAAAUUGACCCCGUACCUUCGGAACAAGGGGUCCUCGUGUAAACGAGGCGCAGAGAAUAGGUCCAGGCAACUGUUUAACAAAAACACAGGGCUGUGCAAAAUUGAAAGAUGAAGUAUACAGCCUGACACCUGCCCGGUGCUGGAAGGUUAAGAGGAGACGUCAUCGCAAGAGAAGCGUUGAAUUGAAGCCCCAGUAAACGGCGGCCGUAACUAUAACGGUCCUAAGGUAGCGAAAUUCCUUGUCGGGUAAGUUCCGACCUGCACGAAUGGUGUAAUGAUCCGGACGCUGUCUCAACCGUGAGCUCAGUGAAAUUGUAGUAUCGGUGAAGAUGCCGAUUACCCGCGAUGGGACGAAAAGACCCCGUGAACCUUUACUAUAGCUUAGCAUUGAAUUUGGGCACGCGAUGUGUAGGAUAGGUCGGAGGCAUUGAAUCGGGCACGCCAGUGUUCGUGGAGCCGCUGUUGAAAUACGACCCUUCGUUUGUUUGAGUUCUAACUUCCGGAUAGAAGGACAUUGCUUGGUGGGUAGUUUGACUGGGGUGGUCGCCUCCAAAAGCGUAACGGAGGCUUCUAAAGGUGCCCUCAGGACGAUCGGUAACCGUCCGCAGAGUGUAAUGGCAAAAGGGCGCUUGACUGGGAGACAGACAAGUCGAGCAGGUAGGAAACUAGAGCAUAGUGAUCCGGUGUUUCCGUAUGGAAGGGACAUCGCUCAAAGGAUAAAAGGUACUCCGGGGAUAACAGGCUGAUCCCUCCCAAGAGCUCAUAUCGACGGAGUGGUUUGGCACCUCGAUGUCGGCUCGUCACAUCCUGGGGCUGGAGAAGGUCCCAAGGGUUGGGCUGUUCGCCCAUUAAAGUGGCACGCGAGCUGGGUUCAGAACGUCGUGAGACAGUUCGGUCUCUAUCUAUCGUGGGCGCAUGAAAUUUGCGUGGCUCUGACACUAGUACGAGAGGACCGUGUUGGACUGACCUCUGGUUUACCGGUUGUGCCGCCAGGUGCAUUGCCGGGUAUCUAAGUCGGGAUUGGAUAAGUGCUGAAAGCAUCUAAGUACGAAGCCAGCCACAAGAUUAGAUUUCUCAGGGUCGUUGUAGACUACAACGUUGAUAGGACGCAGGUGUACAGGCAGCGAUGUCAUAGCCGAGCGUUACUAAUUGCCCGUUCACUUUUUGCC
rnacentral:rRNA from 1 species